rnacentral:tRNA from 1 species
AGUAAUGUAGCUCAGUGGUAGAGCACUUGCCUAGCAUGUUCAAGGCCCUGGGUUUGAUUCCCAUCAUACUUU